GUGGUAUUUAAUUUUCUCACUGGUUGCAGCUCAAAGUUCACAUGCAUUUUUCUUUGAUUCUCUCUAGUAUAUGACUGCUGCUGCUCCUAUGCAAGGGACCUACAUUCCUCAGUACACGCCUGUGCCUCCGACAGCUGUUUCUAUUGAAGGUGUUGUUGCUGAUACCUCUCCCCAGACAGUGGCACCUUCAUCCCAGGACACCAGUGGUCAGCAGCAACAGAUAGCAGUGGACACAUCCAACGAACAUGCACCUGCAUAUUCUUACCAACAGUCUAAGUAAGUCCGGGCUGUGCUAAGCUCUUUUCCUCAAGAUCAGCCACCUUGACAUCACUCUUUUUGUUGUAUCUGUUAGCUUUUGCUGAAAUAUAAACCAUCCCAAACUUAGCAACAGGCAUUUAUUUAGCUCAUGAUUAUGUGGGUUUGAAAUUUGGGCUAACUUUGGGUGGAUGGUUCUUCUGAUCUUGACAGGAAUCAAACAUCUAGGAACAGCUGCUGAUUAUCUAUGCAUCUCUGCUUCUGGGUGUUGCUAGUUGUUGGAUGUGUGAUGGAAGUGACUAGGCCAUAUGUUUCUGAUCUUCCAGCAGGCUAAUUCACACGGAAGUCUCAGAAUUUCAAGAAUAGUAAAGAACAAGCCCAAAUGUACAAACACUCUUAAUUCUGUUUCAUUAGCCAAAGCAAGUCACUUGGCCAAACAGUCAGUGUACCAGUUCACUUUGAAAAAGCUUGAUGUAGAAAGAGGCACUGCAGCCAUUAAAAAA
rnacentral:sRNA from 1 species